AUACGGAAGGGGCGAACGUUACUCGGAUUUACUGGGCGUAAAGCGACCGUAGGCGGUCAAUUAAGUCAGGUGUGAAAGCCCCGCGCUCAACAUGGGAACUGCACUUGAAACUGAUUGACUCGAGUAUGUGAGAGGGGAACGGAAUUCCGAGUGUAGAGGUGAAAUUCGUAGAUAUUCGGAGGAACACCAGAUGCGAAGGCGGUUCUCUGGCACAUUACUGACGCUCAGGGUCGAAAGCGUGGGGAGCAAACAGGAUUAGAAACCCUAGUAGUCC
rnacentral:rRNA from 1 species